GGAGAGGUGGCCGAGUGGCCGAAGGCGCUCCCCUGCUAAGGGAGUACAUCUCAAAAGGGUGUCGAGGGUUCGAAUCCCUCCCUCUCCGCCA
rnacentral:tRNA from 2 species